rnacentral:lncRNA from 1 species
UCUGCUCUCGUCUCUCGGCACUUCGCAGUGGCGUGGUAACUCAUCACGCGUCGUGUAACGUACGUUCAAAACGCGUCGCGGUGCGUAUCGGGCCGACUCGGCGCUAGCGUUGCGCGCGCGGCAUUGUGGGAACGAACUGGUCGGCCAUCUUGGUUUUGUGUGAUGUCACGGCGUGGCCUACUUUGCGCCGCUCCACGUGUGCGGGUCAACGACCUCUCCCCUCGCCUAUGCUACGGGUGGCCUGUGCUAGUACUAUACCACGCUGCCGUGCCACCUAGCUCGUGUUUCUAUGCUCCUCUCGGGCUCUGCCUUGCCUUGCCUCGCCUUGCAUACGAUCACGACUGACUCGCAGGCCGCGCUGCACUGGGAAAACUCACUCGAUCGAAACCCUUAAGGAAGCGUGCACACUGGGACUUGGAUGUACGACCUCGAGCUGCCGAGCCACCGUAACGAUUGCGCUGCUCCGAAGGGGACCGAGUCGAGCGCCACCUCACCUUUCCUUUCCAUUAAGCAGGACAAUGCGACGACAUAGUCGAUUCUCCGAGUUUUUCUUACAUUUUUCUCCCCUCCCCCCCUUUCACUGCUUUCAUUCGGUUUUCAAUCUCCCCACUUGUUCCCAUUCAGCCAAAGACUCCUAUGCACAUUCCGUGAUGUCUCGUCUAAUACAAGUCUCUUCUUUGAGCUGUGUAUUUCGGAAAGAUGAAUUCGUGUACCUUAGAUACCUGACUACGGGAUGAGAGAGUCGAGUAAUAACCAUAGGCAAUAACGCAUUUAAAAAUAUCCCAAUACCUGAUGAAUAUGUGUAAUGUGAUAGUUGGCGAAAUUUCUGACCCCUGCAGGCCAAGAAAUGCCCUUUUUUUACAUCGAAGCGUGUUACGAUCGAGUUCAGAAAUUUUACAAUGGUCGAUACCUGGACGGAUUAACAAAUGUACAUACAUCGGUGUUAUUCAACGAACUUCAUAUUUAUUUUCAAAAUUUUGCAGGCUGAACGGAAAUAGCAGCGAUUUGAGAGGAGAGUAAAAAAUUAGUCCUCCGUCUUCGUGGUGCAUAUUUCUUCAAGUUCCAAUUUCAGAACUACGUGACGAACCAUAUUACACCUACCGUUGCAGCGGGCGAGUUUCUCAUAUAGCGGACCGUCACCUGCAUUUUUCUGAAAAAAUGAAAAACAAGAUGAGAAAAUAAAAUUUAGGUUCCAAUAUACCGGCGCCAGACGUGAUUAGGGUUUUUAAAUAAAAUUAUGUUAUGUAUACGUUUACGUUACAAAAUACAGAAAGUGCGAAAGUUGACGAGCAGGUUUUGGGUUUUGAAUAUUUUGAUUAGCU